rnacentral:misc_RNA from 1 species
UGAUAUGUAUAAAUUUUAUAUGCGCGUAAAAAAUAAUUCAAUGCGAGAGAUAAGAAAACAAAACAGCAAAAUAAUUCUCUGGAUAAACAGUGCAAAUUCAGAUGUGCGCAGUGAACGAGUUUAUACACAACAUAACUAAAGUGACUUAAGUCCACUAGGCAACCAAUAUGUCUUUGUGGAAUGCGAGUAUUAUAUCCUUGUUCUCCUGACGAACUUAAGGAUUUCGUUUCUCUUUUGCACCUGUCCGCUUCUUACUAAUAAACCAUGGAAGAAAACUGGAAGUAAGCUUGAAUAACUUGGUUUAAAAACGCCAGCCCGAGACUCCUAAGCGUGAGUUGCGGCAGAAAUUUCUGUGCCGGCGGAUUAAAAUGGUUUGUGGACUUCGUGAGUUCGCAUCACGGGAAGAAACAAUUUGUUUAUGAGUAAAAAAAAAUAUAGCGUCGAUGUUAAUUUUCAACCAAAGUGACAUGUGACCGAUGCGUUUCACAAGCAACGACUGCUAAGUUUCGUUUCGUAUUUGACAGCGGAUAUAUUUAUACACUUACACGCUUGAUUUGAAAACAGUAAGAAGAAAUGAAUGCAGAGUAGACCACGUCAAAGUAAACAACACAGUUAAGGGAUGCGGCAACAUGCGCUGUUAUAUUUUGAAGUUGCUUGUGAUAUUCACGACGAUGCUGGAUUGUGGACUCUCAGAUCGGGGAAGAGUGUAUAUGGUGACCAGUCCAGAAUCCGUGGUAAUGCCGAUAAACGACGAAACGAGUCUAAUUUGCGAGAUGAACCUGCAGCCAGAUCGGUUCGAAUGGAGGCAUUAUCCUUUCAACUCCGUGGACGUUUCUAAUCCACGUGCUCAUAUAUCUUUGAGCACUUCCCCGUAUAUCAAUCUACCGCAGGAAAUGUUUACUAACGAGAAGAAGACGUCCACUUUGAAAAUCAAAUCGAAUACGACGUUGGUAGCUGGUGGCUAUCAAUGUUUAGCACAUUAUGGUGCUUCGGUAGUGGCGUCCAUUCCAGGACGUAUUACUAUCACCUCCCUGGGGGACUUUCCCCCUCAAGAAAACACUUCGGUCACUGUAAUCGUUGGAAACACGAUUUCGUGGAAAUGUGAUCCGCCCGAAUUUAAUCCACCUGCGGUUAUAGAUUAUUACAAGGAUGGAUCGUAUCUAUCUCCGAAAAUAUUUACCGCACGUACUAAAUCUCUCAUACUACCGAACGUUGGAAUGGGCGAUUCUGGAAUUUAUAAAUGCUUAGCAUACAACAACAUUCAGCAGGCCAGGAUAAUGUCUAAUUUUCACCUGAGCCUGAAAGUAGUUAGCCAAGGACCCCGCCAGGCGCCAAGAUUUAUUACGAUACCGAAAAAAGUCUAUGUCGCUAAUGCAGGUGACACAAUUUUCAUUGAGUGUUCAGCGUAUGGCAACCCAGUGCCGAAGGUAUUCUGGUCGAAAAGCAGUGGUGGACUGCCAAAUCAUAAGAUACAAAUACUACAGGGUGGCCUCUUAAUAAAAAAUAUUUCUUCGUUUGAUGACGGACUUUACUUUUGUAAUCACACGAAUGCGUUGGGAACGCUAUCGCACCACAUUACCGUGGUUUACAGCGAGCUUCCUUCGAUAAUAGACGGUCCUCGCAACACGGACAGCAAAGAGGGCGAAAAUAUGGAUUUACAGUGCGUUGCAAAGGGCACGCCGGAGCCCGAAAUUACGUGGAUUUUGAACGGUGCUAGUGUUUCGAACGACAGUGCGGUUGAAGCGGUCGGAAAUCAAAUUUAUUUCCGUCCGGUCGGAAAAAGACACGCCGGUAUUUUACAGUGUUUCGCGGGAAAUUCGGUCGGUAUCACCUAUAGUAGUGCGAACAUUAAAGUUUUUCCGAAACAAAUUUCGAGCAGCGAUAUAAUCGAAGACGUUCUUCCGCCGCAUCCUGCUGCUUCUCCGCACCGGAAGCGGAAGCAUAAAAGCAAAAAGAAUAAAGGCCGAAAGGGCAUCUUGGAAAUGAUCCCUCCGUCUAAACCGACAGUUUCAAGACUGAAUGACGAAUCCGUGAUGGUUCGAUGGAACGUUCCUGCAAACGACGGUUUGAACAUUUCUUUUUUCAAAGUGCAGUACAAAGAACUAGGUCCGAUAGAUGUUAACGGUAGUCACACCCAUACGCAUGUGAAACGGUGGAAAACGUGCAAUGGUGAUAUCGCCGCUCAUUUACGAAGUUACGAAAUUAACAAUCUCAAACCUGAACAUGUUUAUAAAUUUAGAAUAGCGGCCGUUUAUAGUAAUGGCGACAAUAAAAUGGGACCGAAUUCAGCUCGGUUCGCACUGACCAGGGGCGAUUUCUUCGUACGUAAUCCUUUACCUAUUCCUUUGCUCACACACACCGAAGCUGUGAAUGUUUCUUCAAUAAGGAUAUAUUGGGAGUAUACACCGGACAACAACGUCACUAUAGAUGGUUUCUUCGUAAACUAUUUACCGUCAGAUAGUGCAGGCGAUUACAUGAAAGAAACUGUAGACGGAGGCGACAAAAGGACAUAUAUAAUAUCAUAUCUCAAAGGGGAUACAAUGUACGACAUUAAAAUGCAAAGCUUCAACGCAAAAUCUGCAAGCGAAUUUAGUCCUAUUAUGAAACAGAAAACAGCCAAAUUAGAAGUAACGACCCAAGGGAUUGUUAGGACAACGUCGAAGGAAUCCGUGGAAGUCACAGAACCCACACCCAUGUAUAUAUUCAUCGUUGCUGGAGUUGUCGGUCUGGCACUGUUAUUGAGUGUGAUUGUAUUGUUUAUCAUUUGUCGAAAAUGGAAACAAAAGAAAGAUGCCAACUCUGAUGCUGGAACUGUUGAUAAAGAGGACGGAGGUCACCACAUCCAAGCAGAUGCGAGCGACUACAUUGUAAGUGCAAAAAGUUUAUCUCGAAUGAAUGGUUGCGCUGUUCCCGGUAAUCGAAUUACAAUUACCUCUAAUCCUUUGGCCGAUGCCGACAACAAGGUGAGAUGAAACGUUAGAGAAUUCGUGGAUCAGGCAACACACUUCUUUUUUCUCCUGCCGAAUAUGAGUCGUUUCUGGACGCUUUUUUACAAAAAUCAAUGACAGGUUCUGCCUUUCUACUAUCUCUGUGCUUCGACUAACAACUAAUACCGUUGCUGUUUUGUCUUGCUUACCACACUUUUUAUCGCUACAUAGAAUCAGAACAUGAUUGAAAUGUCUUCUCUACCCACUCAGAACAACAACUGUUCUCAGCCGUCAGUGAGUAAUCCGGACGGUGCGAAAAAUGAA